ensembl:lncRNA
ACUUCUCCAUCGUUGCCCUCUUUUAAUCUGACCUCAACUCAAAGCCCUGCAGAUGCCAAUGCAGAUUAUUAACUCCAGAAGCAAUCAUCCUGAGGUUUUAAAGCUUCGAGAUAAUCCUCUGAUGUUAAAAUUGUCAACCUCUCUAAAUAAUGAAGUGAAAGAAUAAAAAGUCAAUAUGCAACAACCAAGCUCAAUAAACGCCUAUGGGGAGUCA